UACGGAGGGGGCAAGCGUUAUUCGGAAUUAUUGGGCGUAAAGGGCGCGUAGGCGGCUAGAUGUGUCAAAGGUGAAAUCCCUCGGCUCAACUGAGGAACUGCCUUUGAAACUGUCUGGCUUGAGGCCGGGAGAGGGUAGCGGAAUUCCCAGUGUAGCGGUGAAAUUCGUAGAUAUUCGCAAGAACACCGGUGGCGAAGGCGGCCAACUGGACCAUUACUGACGCUGAGGCGCGAAAGCGUGGGGAGCAAACAGG
rnacentral:rRNA from 1 species